CCAGCAAUUUGAAAGAAUGUAUGGCAAUAGCCUAUUGCAUAUUAUUGUGCAAUAUUGAUUAGAUCGAAUAAAGUUCUGAGUAAAUUUAGAUGAUGACUAAAUUUAUUUACGUGUCUUGACUAAAAUGCGUGCCAGCAGUCGCGGUAAGACGUAUAAGACUAGUGUUAUUCAUCUUUAGCAGGUUUAAAGGGUACUUAGACGGCAAACCAAGCCAUAAUAGGGACUAGUUUACUAGAGUUACUUAUAAAGGGGCUUUAAAGUACUAAUGGAGUAGAGAUAAAAUGCUAGUAUACCUUUUUUUGUAAAAAAUAUGAUGGCACUGAUAAAGGCGAAGGCAUCCCCUUAUGUGAUAACUGACGUUAAAGGACGAAGGCUUUGUGUUAUGAACAGGAUUAGAUACCCUAGUAGUCGAAGCAGAGAAUGAUGAGUGUCAUAGAUUGGAAUAAGUUUAAUCUAUAAAUGAAAGUGUAAGCACUCCACCUUAAGAGUAAUGUGGCAACACCGAAAUUGAAAUCAUUAGACCGUUUCUGACACCAGUAGUGAAGUAUGUUGUUUAAUUUGAUGAUCCGCAAAAAACCUUACCACAACUUGAAUAUUUAUAUUUUAAUAUAUUUACAAGCGUUGCACGGCUGUCUUAAGUUAAUGUCGUGAGAAUUUGGUUAGCUCCUUUAAAUUGACGUAAACCCUCGU
rnacentral:rRNA from 1 species